UCCAAUGCUCUCAUUCUCACUCAUCCCUUACUCAUCCUCUCUGCAACUCUUCCAACAACCUCAUCACUGCACCAUCUAUCUAUCACACCUUUAAUUUGCUUAGCUUAAACCUCUCAUCUAAACUAAUCUACUUCACAAUGCUUCUCCGAUCCAUAUCCUCCUCUCACUGUUUUUCUUUACAACCUCCGCAACCGAAACCAAUACCUCAGCCGGCCACGCCAUCCCCUUUCCCACCCACCACCAUUUCAACGUUAAACAAUCCGUUUCUCGGGCACCCACCGUCUCAAUAUUCGACACAUAUUACGACUUAAACGGGUUCGUUACGGUUUUGGUACCAAUCGUAUUAUUUUUUCUUAUGGGUGGCCCGUUCCUGACCAUUCCAGCUACAAACAUUCUUAUACCAGUUGAUGAAAAGGGCACGUUUGCUUUGCAUUUGUUCCAUCCCCAACCGGACUAUCCAUCAUAGCAAGAAGGCAUCCGGAUUUCUUUUGAAAGCUCAAAUGAUUUUAUAUGUCAAUCAAGGGGCGAACUCGGCCAGGAAAAGCAAUUGCUAUUUAUACUAAAAGAAAAGUGAGAGAAAUAUGGCAUGAAGUGGAGAUAAUCCAAUGUAACACAUGCUACGUGAGUACGUGGGAGGCAGCUGAGUGAAGACCCAACACAUUCGGUGAAGAAGUGAAACAUGAAGCAUGCGACUAUUAUUUAAUAAUAAUAAUAAUAAUAAUAAUAAUAAUACUUGAUAGAUUAUUGUAACAUAUGAUGGAUGAUUAAGAGAAUGAAUUGAGUGGUAUUAUAUUUGUAUUUCACUGUAUUUUAAAUUGCUUAAUGAUUAAGUCAAA